ensembl:lncRNA
GCAGCUGUAGGCCUGCCAGUGCUGGAGAGCAGGGGCUGGACUGGUCGGACAGGCCAGGCCGGGCUGGGGAAGGCGCCUGGGGAGCAGCCUCCCCAGCCAGCCUCAGUCUGAGGGCCCAGGGUGGGAGGACCUCACACAAGUUUGCAUCGCUUUGAUUCCCAAAGAUUUUCAUCUCACUAGAGCCUUCGCCAAGAGCUGUGAUUCUCAAUGCUGCCACACACUGGAAUCCCCUGGAGAGCUUGAAAUCAGUCACCUAGGAGCGCAUGCCCAGCCUGCACCCCAGGGUGGGACCCGGGCAUCAGCAUUUGUAAAAGUCCCCCAGAGGAUUCCAAGGUGCCGCCAACGCCGAGAGCCACUGGUCUAAAGCAGCUUUCACCUAAUGCUUGGCCGUUGUGAAUAAUGCUGCAGUGACCAUGGGAGCGCAGAUAUCUCUUCAAGAUCCUGAUUUCAACUCUUGGAUAUAUACCCACAAGUGGGAUUGCUGGAUCUUAUGGCAGUUCUAUUUUUAAUUUUUUGAGGAACCUCCAAAUUGUUUUCCAUAGCGACUGUACCAUUUUACACUCCCACCAACAGCGCACCAGAAUGAAAGUCUCUUGGAUGCCAAUCUUGACUCCUUAAAGGAAUGACGUCUGUCUCUGAAAAGGGACCACAAUGAAGAUCCCUCCCCGUCGCAGUCAACACGGAUGCAGGCAUCCAUUCCCUCAGGACCCCUCCUCCCACAGAUCCGUGCUUGCUUUCUCCAACAUGCCUGACCAAUGUUAACCUCUGCUUGCACACCACCCCUGACGGGGCACUCACUUCCUGUCAAGCUAGAUCCCUGAACCCUUGACCAGCUGGAAGAUCCUCCUUGCUCCCAAGGAGCUGGACCCCACAUCCCUGGCCCCUCUACCCACUCCUCCUGGUUUUCCAAGACAGCUCAGAAGACUGAUCAUCUUCUUCAAGCGCCCCACAUCCAAAAGUGUCUUGAGGAAGGAAGAGGGGAGAAGGGGGGAAACUGGAGAUUUGCCCUUCUGCCAGCCUUGCCCAGCUUCCGAGCCCUGCCUGAACUCAGCCUCCCCCAGCGAUCCAGGUCCUGGAGGCUCCCUGCCUCAGCAGCUGCUUCUUUAAGAAGCGCCAGGAGGGGGGGGGCCGGUCCUCGCUACUGUCCUUGGAUCCUGUCCAGGGCCCUGAUUUAAAAGGUAUUGCAAGGUUUUUAAAAAACAAACAUGUGUUGUAACCCAAGGCCCUGGUAACCACAACACUGCCGGCUGCUAGCUGCCGCCUCCCAGGCUGAGAGGAGAGGAAGCUGCUCUCCGCCUACCCCGCAGCACCCCACACUCUGCAACGCGCCGCGCCGUACUUACCCUAUUAUAUCAGGCUGGGAGCUCAGCGAGGGCAGGGCCUGGGCUGCACCUGGGGGCUGCAGGCCUUCUGGACUGAAGUGCUUUUUGGACCCACACCAGUUCUCUCAUGAACCAUUCCAGUAGAUAGUUGAUGGCUCUAAGACCACGCUUUCUGUCCACUCCACCUGAGCCCCAGAGUGACCAUGCAUACACCAAUCUGAUGGGGCCACCCUCACUGCCUACAGGAUAAAGUAAAAUCAUCUUGACUGGGCUUUCAAGGCUUCCCCCUUCUACCUGUGUCUCCCUCACUCCCUGUAUUCGCCCAGCACUCCGGCCACACUGAGCCACUGAGCCCCCUGGAAAACCUGCACAGCGCUGGGCAUGAAUGUUCUUCCCCAUUUUCUUUCUUUUUAAUUUUAAUUUUUGUACAUUUAUGUGUUACAAAAUGAUCACCACAAUAAGGUCAGUUAGCACAUUCAUCCCCUCACAGAGAUACAGUUCCCCACUGUCUUGACAAGAAGAAGUCUACGGAGCCCAGCUGGGCCAUCACAUCCUGGGUGAAGCCUGCCCCACCCUGCCUUCUCCCAGACAGAACUUGGUACUCC